AGUAAAUUUGCAGGGGCCUGGUUGUCAACUGCUUAAAAUAAUGACAGCAGUGGGGUCCCCUCCCAGUGCAAAGUGACCACCAGCAGCUCGGCCCAAAUUAACCCCGACUGACUCCCCAGGCUUCUCCACCCCAGGCCAUGGUGCCUCACCCUAGGGGAGGUCAAAGUGUGAGGGCUGGGCCAAAACCUUCCACUCCUCCUGCCAGGCCUGGGACCUGGGGGGGAGCGCUGUCCGCAGACACUUGGAGGAACCCUCACGGUCCAAGCCCGCUUAUGGUUUAUAUACUGAGAAGGGAGUCUCACGGGAGAAAAUCUGGAGGAGAAAAGAGGAGUUCAUAGCCCCAAACAUUUUUCAUCAUCAUUGCAGUAGGGCGUCAAUCUGCCAUCUGUAAACCCAGACUGUAAAGUGGACCUAGCUGUCUUUAUUGUUUCUGAUUUGAAUUAAUUUCUGGCUGAAACCUACAUUCCACUGACUGUUGGGAAAUGUUACCAUUGGGUUCCUUCCCUUACCUCUGUGAUGUGCCAUAGUUCUGGGAUCCUACAAAGUGCUGACCUGCCUAGAUUGGAAUGUCCAGGUGACCACUGAGGCAUCUACUGUCCAAGUCCACGUGGGGCCGUGGUCUGGUGGGUCUCUGCUGCUUGUGUCCCACACUUGAGGCACAGAAUUCUUUGACUAGGCUGCCUGGCCCUUCUGCCUGGAUGCACCAUGCACCACUCCUCUGGGGUCCUGCUGCCCCCCUGUACUCCCCACCGCCUGGUCUCUGCCAUGCCUGGAUGCACAGUCCUCUUUCCUCUCCUCCUAAGCUGGAAGGAGCCAUCUUUUCCCAGGAUGGGAGUGAAACUCCAAACUCAACUUGGCUCCUUCAAGAUAUUCCGUUUCUAUCAGCAAGGCCUGUUCUCCCUCUUAACUCUUCCCAGAACCCGAGGAAUCACUUUCGGGAGACAAAAGCCAGAAGGACUGUGGAUGACUUCUGCCUUUCAGCCUGCUCCCACCUCGUGAGGCAAGAAGCACGCAAGAGACGAGAUUUCAGAACACCGAGUGGAAGGCAUCAGGGAAUUCAUAGUUCCGUCAGAGAGAAGGUGUAAAUUCUGAAGUACUUGGCACAGAGACAUUUACAAAUGGAUUGUUUCAAACCCACACUGGUCAAUCAAUUGUUUGGAAUUUGAAAUGUAUUUUUUUUUUUUCAAAAAAAUGUUAUAAACACUGGUUUGCUUUCCAGGCAAGCCCAGAGAUACUAUGGUGAAAACAAAACUUUUUAUUUCUCUUAAUACCAUUGGAACAGAGAAGAAAUGCUAACAAAGUCAUAGCUUCAAUCAUAUUUGUUUAGUUUUGUUUGAGAUCUGAAGAAAUCGUUUGGAUUUUUCAAAGGUUUUAGACGCUUAGGGAAUCAGCUGCUUGUGUUAUGUCCAUUUUUACUUCCUUCUUUCUUCUUGAUGCUAUAGUCAGUGCCAAUAAUCUUGGGGAUGUCAGCUACAAUCAUAGGCAAGGGAGAAAGGGCUCAAAAACACCAGAAACAGAAUGGGAAAAUUUUGAGAGAAACUGAGGUAUCUUACAGGAAAUUAAAGAGAAACGGGAAGGAGAAGAGGAGUCAAAGUGAGGGGUGUGCUUGUGAUAAAGAGGUUCCUUGAGGUGUAGUUAAUGGAGUUGAGAAAUGAGGAAGACGUGCAGAAUCACUCCAAGGAGAAGGCAGGAGAGAAGUGUGCAGAAAUCAAAACCCAAAUGCCUUCAGGGCCCAGACAGGUACAGGAAAGGAGCAGGCUGGGGAUGAAAGAACGGGAAAUAGUGGGGAGCAUGGCAAACCAGAGAGUUCGGGAAGUUCUAAUUUGAUUUUUUGUAAAACAUCAGUGUGAGCCUAACCAAAUACCGCUGCAAGCUGAGUUGUAUCUGUCGGCCACCUUUCAGAAUCUUUGGCAAAGAGAUUAAAAGCAGGAGAUCUGGAGUCAGACUGCCUGGGUUCAUCACCUGCUUCACCACUUAGUGGUCUGUGACCUCACUUUCCUCGUCUGUAUACCGAUAUUUCUGACUUCAUAGGAUUGUUGUGAAGUAUGACGACAUAGGUGAGAG
rnacentral:lncRNA from 1 species